rnacentral:rRNA from 1 species
AUUGAACGCUGGCGGCAUGCCUUACACAUGCAAGUCGAACGGUAACGCGGGGGGCAACCCUGGCGACGAGUGGCGAAUGGGUGAGUAAUACAUCGGAACGUACCCAGUAGUGGGGGGAUAGCUCGGCGAAAGCCGGAUUAAUACCGCAUACGACCUAUGGGUGAAAGCGGGGGAUCGCAAGACCUCGCGCUAUUGGAGCGGCCGAUGUCGGAUUAGCUAGUUGGUGAGGUAAAGGCUCACCAAGGCUACGAUCCGUAGCUGGUCUGAGAGGACGACAGCCACACUGGGACUGAGACACGGCCCAGACUCCUACGGGAGGCAGCAGUGGGGAAUUUUGGACAAUGGGCGCAAGCCUGAUCCAGCCAUGCCGCGUGUGUGAAGAAGGCCUGGUG